rnacentral:misc_RNA from 1 species
UGCUCUGGCAGCGACGACAUCUCCAACUCGCCUCUUCAAUCGUCGGCACGAGCGCUCUCUUGCCUCGACCGAUGUCGGUUUCCCGUGCUGGAUACCUGAUGCAAAGGCAUUGCAUUCGGCUAAGUUGUCCCUAUUCCGUCCCGUAUCCAUGUGCCCUACGGCCCGUGAGAUGCGGAUGGACCUUGGAGCAUCCUCCGUGGCGUCCCGAUCCGUGCGCUCCCGAAUGGGUUCCCGGUUCGACGAUCCAUGGUGGCCUGCUCGAUCUCUCGGAUGCGGAACACCCGUGGGUAUGAGGCGAUGUCCUCCUAAUGUCCCGAAAAAACAGGCUUCUUGCGAACGACGGUCGUCACGGUCUCGGUCCCCUGCCCCCGUGGCAUCGGUCGUGCCGGGACG